AUAUGAAACAAAUUUUGUAAUUUAAUUUCGACUUAAAUUUUUGGAGUAUAAUUAAUCCCAUAUU
rnacentral:tRNA from 1 species